UUGUUGAGGAGCGAUCAUGUGAACGUGCCCGUCGAUAGCAGCAGCCGUCAGAAUCAGAUGUUCUCCGGAAAUAGCGUCUGUGGCAGCUCCGGUGACCAAUUCCGGAGAAACUCCUUGCAUCGUAUUGGGGUUCCCGGCUUUUCCGAUUCCGGCAAUUUUCCCAUUCUUUAUACCGACGUCGGCUUUGAUUACCCCCAAUUUAGGAUCCAGAAUAGUUACGUUGGUGAUGACUAAAUCCAAGGUACCUCCUUCUGAAGUAGUUGUAUUCGCUAAACCCAUACCGUCCCG
rnacentral:sRNA from 1 species